UAUGCGGAGAGAAGCUACAUAUAAAAAUAUACAUAUCUUAUUAUUCAAUUUAUAUAAAAAUCCAAAAAAGACAUCUAAGGUAUAAUAUCAAAAAGCAAUGAAUAGUUGGGACCAAGGUUUUUUAAAUAUAUAUAUUUUUUGCAGGAGUGGGGCAAUGAGGUUGAGGAGGGAUAUAAUUGACUAAGAAAAGGCAAAAGAAACCUUCUUAAGUGAUGGGCGUUUCCUAUACCAGGAUUAUGAUGGUUACAUAUUUGAGGUCUCACUGAAUUGUACAAGAUAAUAAGUGAAUUUGAUAGUACAUAAAUUAUACCUCAAUAAGGUAAGGUUGAUUUAAAAAUCUAUUCCAGCAUUUUUAGUUGUUUUCAGUGAGUAGGCCUUGUCUGUCAUAAUUCCAGAAACAGAACAUCCAACAUAAUUUUUUCAUUUCUUUUAUUAUGUAUGAUACUACUUCCUGAUUUAUCUGUUUUAGACCUUAUUCAUGCGUUUUCCACCAUGGUAGUUACCCCCAUACAGCUACCUUUUCACUUCCCGUCCCCCAUCUCAACAUAACUAUCGCAAUUUAAAAAAUCAAAUAGUGUUUACACCAUUUAUGACUAUGCAAAUGUUGUUCAAUGCUACAAAAUAGUGUACUAUUAUCACAGCUUCUUUCUUAUGCAAUGUAAUUGUUUUUCCUCCUGUUAAUACUUGCCUUUCAUUUUCAUUAGCCUGGUUUUCCAUGUAUCUAAGAAUUAUUUUUCUCCAAAGCUUGGACAUUUCUGCCAUAUGUAUAUCAUUGAUAUUCUCCAUAAACUCAAACACAUAAUUUCUACUAUUUUCCUGGAGACCUCCCUUCCUGAAUCCUUCAUCUUUCUGCUCCAGUCUGGACCCAUUGACUUGGAGACUUCAAAGCAGUCGUGUUGGUACUUCCCUUCUCUGCUCUCCUAUCUUUAGUUCCAUGCCUUUCUCAUUCUUGUUUUACUCUUCAGCUUUGGGGGAGUUCAUCAUCCAGGUGCCUCCCAUUGGAGCUUUUUGGGGGGCUCUUUGUCUCUCUUCUAUAUUUAGACUACAACUUUCUUCCCUUUAUUACGUCAGACAUCUCUCUUUUUUUCUUCCAAAAUAUUCAUUGAAAUCUCGUCUAUUGUUUUCUCUCCCUUUCUUGUCAAGGGUUAGUAAUUUAAAAAAUCUUUUUACUGUCAUCUGACCAAGGUUUCAGGAGAGGGAAGAGAAACCUAUGUUCUCAAUUCAUCAUUGUAAACUGGAACCCAGGCAUGACAUUUGAAAUGAAGGACACAUUCUUGAUUUUAACAAAGGAGAGAAAAUGAGUACAUAUACAGUAGAUUUGGUGCUAUGAAGAUGAAGGGAUUCAUAUCAAUGGGCUUCAGUUUUAUCAGUGAAAGAUGAGGCUAG
rnacentral:lncRNA from 1 species